rnacentral:rRNA from 1 species
GUAUUAGAGGAGUUAAGUCGUACCACGUUUCCGUAGGUGAACCUGCGGAAGGAUCAUUA